rnacentral:tRNA from 1 species
GCGGGCGUAGUUCAAGGGUAGAACAUUAGCCUUCCAAGCUAAAUAUACGGGUUCGAUUCCCGUCGCCCGCU